GGGUUGUGAGGUUAAGCGACUAAGCGUACACGGUGGAUGCCCUGGCAGUCAGAGGCGAUGAAGGACGUGCUAAUCUGCGAUAAGCGUCGGUAAGGUGAUAUGAACCGUUAUAACCGGCGAUUUCCGAAUGGGGAAACCCAGUGUGUUUCGACACACUAUCAUUAACUGAAUCCAUAGGUUAAUGAGGCGAACCGGGGGAACUGAAACAUCUAAGUACCCCGAGGAAAAGAAAUCAACCGAGAUUCCCCCAGUAGCGGCGAGCGAACGGGGAGCAGCCCAGAGCCUGAAUCAGUGUGUGUGUUAGUGGAAGCGUCUGGAAAGGCGCGCGAUACAGGGUGACAGCCCCGUACACAAAAAUGCACAUGCUGUGAGCUCGAUGAGUAGGGCGGGACACGUGGUAUCCUGUCUGAAUAUGGGGGGACCAUCCUCCAAGGCUAAAUACUCCUGACUGACCGAUAGUGAACCAGUACCGUGAGGGAAAGGCGAAAAGAACCCCGGCGAGGGGAGUGAAAAAGAACCUGAAACCGUGUACGUACAAGCAGUGGGAGCACGCUUAGGCGUGUGACUGCGUACCUUUUGUAUAAUGGGUCAGCGACUUAUAUUCUGUAGCAAGGUUAACCGAAUAGGGGAGCCGAAGGGAAACCGAGUCUUAACUGGGCGUUAAGUUGCAGGGUAUAGACCCGAAACCCGGUGAUCUAGCCAUGGGCAGGUUGAAGGUUGGGUAACACUAACUGGAGGACCGAACCGACUAAUGUUGAAAAAUUAGCGGAUGACUUGUGGCUGGGGGUGAAAGGCCAAUCAAACCGGGAGAUAGCUGGUUCUCCCCGAAAGCUAUUUAGGUAGCGCCUCGUGAAUUCAUCUCCGGGGGUAGAGCACUGUUUCGGCAAGGGGGUCAUCCCGACUUACCAACCCGAUGCAAACUGCGAAUACCGGAGAAUGUUAUCACGGGAGACACACGGCGGGUGCUAACGUCCGUCGUGAAGAGGGAAACAACCCAGACCGCCAGCUAAGGUCCCAAAGUCAUGGUUAAGUGGGAAACGAUGUGGGAAGGCUCAGACAGCCAGGAUGUUGGCUUAGAAGCAGCCAUCAUUUAAAGAAAGCGUAAUAGCUCACUGGUCGAGUCGGCCUGCGCGGAAGAUGUAACGGGGCUAAACCAUGCACCGAAGCUGCGGCAGCGACGCUUAUGCGUUGUUGGGUAGGGGAGCGUUCUGUAAGCCUGCGAAGAUGUGCUGUGAGGCAUGCUGGAGGUAUCAGAAGUGCGAAUGCUGACAUAAGUAACGAUAAAGCGGGUGAAAAGCCCGCUCGCCGGAAGACCAAGGGUUCCUGUCCAACGUUAAUCGGGGCAGGGUGAGUCGACCCCUAAGGCGAGGCCGAAAGGCGUAGUCGAUGGGAAACAGGUUAAUAUUCCUGUACUUGGUGUUACUGCGAAGGGGGGACGGAGAAGGCUAUGUUGGCCGGGCGACGGUUGUCCCGGUUUAAGCGUGUAGGCUGGUUUUCCAGGCAAAUCCGGAAAAUCAAGGCUGAGGCGUGAUGACGAGGCACUACGGUGCUGAAGCAACAAAUGCCCUGCUUCCAGGAAAAGCCUCUAAGCAUCAGGUAACAUCAAAUCGUACCCCAAACCGACACAGGUGGUCAGGUAGAGAAUACCAAGGCGCUUGAGAGAACUCGGGUGAAGGAACUAGGCAAAAUGGUGCCGUAACUUCGGGAGAAGGCACGCUGAUAUGUAGGUGAAGUCCCUUGCGGAUGGAGCUGAAAUCAGUCGAAGAUACCAGCUGGCUGCAACUGUUUAUUAAAAACACAGCACUGUGCAAACACGAAAGUGGACGUAUACGGUGUGACGCCUGCCCGGUGCCGGAAGGUUAAUUGAUGGGGUCAGCGCAAGCGAAGCUCUUGAUCGAAGCCCCGGUAAACGGCGGCCGUAACUAUAACGGUCCUAAGGUAGCGAAAUUCCUUGUCGGGUAAGUUCCGACCUGCACGAAUGGCGUAAUGAUGGCCAGGCUGUCUCCACCCGAGACUCAGUGAAAUUGAACUCGCUGUGAAGAUGCAGUGUACCCGCGGCAAGACGGAAAGACCCCGUGAACCUUUACUAUAGCUUGACACUGAACAUUGAGCCUUGAUGUGUAGGAUAGGUGGGAGGCUUUGAAGUGUGGACGCCAGUCUGCAUGGAGCCGACCUUGAAAUACCACCCUUUAAUGUUUGAUGUUCUAACGUUGACCCGUAAUCCGGGUUGCGGACAGUGUCUGGUGGGUAGUUUGACUGGGGCGGUCUCCUCCUAAAGAGUAACGGAGGAGCACGAAGGUUGGCUAAUCCUGGUCGGACAUCAGGAGGUUAGUGCAAUGGCAUAAGCCAGCUUGACUGCGAGCGUGACGGCGCGAGCAGGUGCGAAAGCAGGUCAUAGUGAUCCGGUGGUUCUGAAUGGAAGGGCCAUCGCUCAACGGAUAAAAGGUACUCCGGGGAUAACAGGCUGAUACCGCCCAAGAGUUCAUAUCGACGGCGGUGUUUGGCACCUCGAUGUCGGCUCAUCACAUCCUGGGGCUGAAGUAGGUCCCAAGGGUAUGGCUGUUCGCCAUUUAAAGUGGUACGCGAGCUGGGUUUAGAACGUCGUGAGACAGUUCGGUCCCUAUCUGCCGUGGGCGCUGGAGAACUGAGGGGGGCUGCUCCUAGUACGAGAGGACCGGAGUGGACGCAUCACUGGUGUUCGGGUUGUCAUGCCAAUGGCACUGCCCGGUAGCUAAAUGCGGAAGAGAUAAGUGCUGAAAGCAUCUAAGCACGAAACUUGCCCCGAGAUGAGUUCUCCCUGACCCUUUAAGGGUCCUGAAGGAACGUUGAAGACGACGACGUUGAUAGGCCGGGUGUGUAAGCGCAGCGAUGCGUUGAGCUAACCGGUACUAAUGAACCGUGAGGCUUAACCUUACAACGCCGAAGGUGUUU
rnacentral:rRNA from 1 species